rnacentral:rRNA from 1 species
UAAUACGGAGGGUGCAAGCGUUAUCCGGAUUCACUGGGUUUAAAGGGUGUGUAGGCGGGCUGUUAAGUCAGUGGUGAAAUCUCAAGGCUCAACCUUGAAACUGCCAUUGAUACUAUCAGUCUUGAAUUUUGUUGAGGUAGGCGGAAUAUGUCAUGUAGCGGUGAAAUGCUUAGAUAUGACAUAGAACACCAAUUGCGAAGGCAGCUUGCUAAACAAAUAUUGACGCUGAGGCACGAAAGCGUGGGGAUCAAACAGGAUUAGAUACCCUGGUAGUCCACGCCCUAAACGAUGAUUACUCGACAUACGUGAUACACUAUGUGUGUCUGAGCGAAAGCAUUAAGUAAUCCACCUGGGAAGUACGUCCGCAAGGAUG